rnacentral:rRNA from 1 species
UACGGAAGGUCCGGGCGUUAUCCGGAUUUAUUGGGUUUAAAGGGAGCGUAGGCCGGGUUUUAAGCGUGCCGUGAAAUGUCGGGGCUCAACCUUGACACUGCGGCGCGAACUGGAGUCCUUGAGUGCGCGGAACGUAUGCGGAAUUCGUGGUGUAGCGGUGAAAUGCUUAGAUAUCACGAAGAACCCCGAUUGCGAAGGCAGCAUACGGCAGCGCUACUGACGCUGAAGCUCGAAGGCGCG